UACAGGGGGUGCAAGCGUUGUUCGGAAUUAUUGGGCGUAAAGCGCGUGUAGGCGGAUCGUUAAGUCUGGUGUGAAAUCCCUCGGCUCAACUGAGGACGUGCAUCGGAUACUGGCGACCUUGAGUCCUGGAGAGGUAGCGGAAUUCCCAGUGUAGAGGUGAAAUUCGUAGAUAUUGGGAGGAACACCGGUGGCGAAGGCGGCUACCUGGACAGUGACUGACGGCUGAGACGCGAAAAGCAUGGGUAGCAAACAGG
rnacentral:rRNA from 1 species